rnacentral:lncRNA from 1 species
GAGAAAGAGGGUAGGGCCCCGCCUCACAUAUGUCGUCACCUCUCUCCGAUAGCCACCACCACUUCGAACUAGCCACCGCCACUGUCAAUCCUUCGCGCCACCAAAGCCACUGUGAAUCCUAGCGACUCAACCAUAGCAGCGACCACGUGAAUCUUCUUUUCGCGAACCAGAAACGCCACCUUAAAUUGCAAACCUCCAUAGCCGCCGCGUCGAUUCCCCCAUCUCCUCCAACAGUGCGCCACUAAUCUUCCUCAUUUUCUCACAAAACCAGUUUCUCUCCUUGCUCGCGCCAUCUCUAAUGGCGUCUCUGGGAACACCAAUGGACCGUGCUCCAAAAUGAAAAAUAAAAGGGGAACCGUUUCUGAGUUUUGCUCUAUGUGUGUGGGUGCAGGAAAUCGGUCCCUGCUUUGGGUUGUGGUUCCUGUUUCGAUGGUUCACAUUUGGAUAUUUGGUUGGUUUCUUUUCUUGCAGGUGAAAGGCGUUUGAUCACAAAGAGGAUUUUUCUGUGUUGUAGUGUAGUGGAUGAGAUUGGGAAUUUUUGUGUUGAUAGCAGGNAAUGGACAAAACCGUGAAGUUCCAAGGGAUGAACAGAAUGAUUCUGAUGCAGAUGAAGAUAUGGUACAAUUUUUGUGGAGACAAUUUUUGGGUUGUUAGUGGUUUUGGGUUAAUUUUAGAAGGGAGAGAUAUUUGGAUGUUUGAAGUAUGAAGAUGUUUGGUUUUUUUGCUUGGUGACUGAGGUUUCGAAUGGAGAAAGCAGAGUGAUGGCUAAAGCUAACUGUAACAGUGGGCAUAACGGUGAUGAAGUUCAAAAAUGACCGGCGAUGGUAAUAUACUAUUCUCUCACGACACCAUGGCAAAACAAAUAAAAUAGUAUCCCAUAUACAACAUUAUACACAAAAACCAGUAACGCGAAUAAGUGUUUACCUGUGCAAAGUUGCUCUUGGAGUUGUUCUUGAAGAAACAAGUUUCUUCCAACUGAUUGAAUAUCCGAGAGCUUUGCCGCUAAAUCUUCACCUCCGGUCAAGCUUUGUGUGUAAUUUUUCUCUUGUUCUUCCUUGCUGCCCCCGUCUAAUUUUUUCUUUUUGCUUUUUUUUCUUUCCUUCCUCUCAAUACCCUCUCCCCUCUUCCUAACCGUUUUUUUUUUCGUCCAAAACCCUAAACCCUUUGCCAGCUCACCCUCUAGCCCCCCCUCUUCCUGAUCCCAAGAAAAAUCCCUUUUGCUAACAAACUUCUUUUUUUCUUUUUUUUUUGUUAACACGUUUUUUUUUAUCUUCUUUUUCUUUCUUUCGUUUUUUUUAUUAGCUUUUUUUCAUUCAUCAUUUUCAUUUUUAUUUCUUUUCUUUCUUUUUUUCAAAAGAAUAUAUAUAUAAAAAAAAUCAAAUCAGAUAAUAAUAAUAAAACUAAAUCAAAGUAAAUUAAACAUAAUAGAACAAAACAAAAUAAGACAAAAUAAAAACAAGUCCUAUUAUUAGCUACCCGGACGAAAUUGGGUGUUGACAGUAAUAUUUGGGAUUUUUUUAAGGAUGUAAAGUUGUAUUUGGAACAGUUAAUGUCAUUGUCAAUAAUGAAAGUUAUUUUUGUAAAGUAUAUUGUAUUGUGGUGAGCAUCCCCUUUGUUAUUUUUUCUUGUAUUACUUAAGUUAGUUGAAGCUAUGUAUAUGGGGGGGACCAAGUACAGGUAUGUCUGGGUUGGGAUAUAAGUUUAUGCAACGGUAAGCGAUUACACGGACACUGUAAUCGCUUACCAGCACGAAAAAUGAAAUUUGUACUAAAUCCUGAGAGGUGCUAACUGAGCCUGCCUAAAUGGCUCCCAAGUAUUGUCAAGUGAGGCAUGGGUGGUUGUGUCCUCUUGAACAACGUUGAAGGAAGUGGAGGUCACAUGGAACGGAAAGCGAUUACAGGGACCCUGUAANUUUUUUUUAAAAGAAAAGUAGAUAAAAAUAAAUUACAAGUAUAGAAAUAAGUUGGUAAAUUAUCAAAUAAAAAUAAAAAAUUUAAUGAUAGAAUAAAAAUAUAGUGGUGUAUAUAUAAAAAGAUGGGGUGUCUAAACUAUACUUAGAAAACUAAUUGGGCCUAAACCCAAGUGGCAAAGGGUGCACCUUAGAAAAAACAAGGGGUGCAAAUUUAAUUUUUUUGUCAAAUAUCAAAUUGGGUCUGAGCCCAAAUUAAAAAAAAACGACUUAGGAAAAAUAGGGAGUGUAGGGAAAAGUUAGUGUUUUUGUUCUGGCCCAGAGUUGGCCCAAGCAGAAAGGAUGUGAGGAGAACGAAACAGGGGUGCAGGCAGGUAUUCUCGUUUUUUUUUUUUUUUGACUUGGCCCAUAGUUAAUUUAGACAGAAAGGGGUGUGAAAAUGAGGAAAAGGGGGUCAGAGGGAAAUUGUUUCUAAUGGCCCAUGCUGGCCCAAACAACUUAAACUUUCAGAAACCCUAAGGGGUUCUCCCAAUCUGCCUCAUUUCGAAAUUCCACUCCAGAGACCAAGAGACCUAACGUCUCUUNCCCCCAGCCUAAGGACUCCACCUCCGACAGCCGCACUGCUUCCUCACCACCAACCUACCGGCCGCCGUGUCGCCACCCAGUUUUCCCUUAGCAUCACCGGCGCCGCUACACCAUUGNCGAUCGUGACAUCUUCACCUUCUCCGAAUGCUCUGGCGCGAGAAAGAGGGUAGGGCCCCGCCUCACAUAUGUCGUCACCUCUCUCCGAUAGCCACCACCACUUCGAACUAGCCACCGCCACUGUCAAUCCUUUGCGCCACCAAAGCCACUGUGAAUCCUAGCGACUCAACCAUAGCAACGACCACGUGAAUCUUCUUUUCGCGAACCAAAAACGCCACCUUAAAUUGCAAACCUCCAUAGCCGCCGCGUCGAUUCCCCCAUCUCCUCCAACAGUGCGCCACUAAUCUUCCUCAUUUUCUCACAAAACCAGUUUCUCUCCUUGCUCGCGCCAUCUCUAAUGGCGUCUCUGGGAACACCAAUGGACCGUGCUCCAAAAUGAAAAAUAAAAGGGGAACCGUUUCUGAGUUUUGCUCUAUGUGUGUGGGUGCAGGAAAUCGGUCCC